GUGCGCGGUGUGAUGGGAAGAUUGAAAUGAAGCCGAGAAGGCUCUGCCACAUAAUGCAAUGUAGUAUGGUCAGAGGCGUCGGAACGGCUCUGGAAGUGUGAAGGGGCACACUUAUUGCCCGCCGAAGACGGGUGACAUUCUAGGAGGGUCCGGGGGCAUGCCCCCAGGAAAAAUUUCAAAACUAGAGUCUCUGAAAUGCCAUUUCCUGCACUUUAGAAGGAGAUUUACAGAGUUCUAAAGGUAAC